CCUACGGGAGGCAGCAGUGGGGAAUAUUGGGCAAUGGAGGAAACUCUGACCCAGCGACGCCGCGUGCGGGAUGAAGGCCUUCGGGUUGUAAACCGCUUUCAGUAGGGAAGAAGCGAAAGUGACGGUACCUACAAAAGAAGCACCGGCUAACUAUGUGCCAGCAGCCGCGGUAAUACAUAGGGUGCAAGCGUUGUCCGGAAUUAUUGGGCGUAAAGAGCUCGUAGGUCGUUUGUUACGUCGGAUGUGAAAACCUGAGGCUCAACCUCAGGCCUGCAUUCGAUACGGGCAAACUAGAGUUUGGUAGGGGAGACUGGAAUUCCUGGUGUAGCGGUGGAAUGCGCAGAUAUCAGGAGGAACACCAAUGGCGAAGGCAGGUCUCUGGGCCAAUACUGACACUGAGGAGCGAAAGUCUGGGGAGCGAACAGGAUUAGAUACCCUGGUAGUCCAGACCGUAAACGGUGGGCACUAGUUGUGGGAACCUUCCACGGUUUCUGCGACGCAGCUAACGCAUUAAGUGCCCCGCCUGGGGAGUACGAUCGCAAGAUUAAAACUUAAAUGAAUUGACGGCUGAGACGNGCGAGCGACGACGAGGAGAG
rnacentral:rRNA from 1 species